rnacentral:rRNA from 1 species
GAUGAACGCUAGCGAUAGGCCUAACACAUGCAAGUCGAGGGGCAGCAUAGAGUAGCAAUACUUUGAUGGCGACCGGCGCACGGGUGAGUAACACGUAUGCAACCUACCUACAUCAGGGGAAUAACCCGGAGAAAUUCGGACUAAUACCGCAUAAUACAGGGAUGCCGCAUGGCAAUAUUUGUUAAAGAUUUAUCGGAUGUAGAUGGGCAUCCGUUCCAUUAGCUUGUUGGUGAGGUAACGGCUCACCAAGGCAACGAUGGAUAGGGGAACUGAGAGGUUUGACCACACCACUGGAACUGAGACACGUACCAGGCUCCUACGGGAGGCAGCAGUGAGGAAUAUUGGGCAAUGGACGAGAGUCUGAACCAGCCAAAUCGUGUGAAGGAAGACUGCCCUACGGGUUGUAAACUUCUUUUGUACAGGAAUAAAAGACAUUACGUGUAAUGUAUUGCAUGUACUGUACGAAUAAGCAUCGGCUAACUCCGUGCCAGCCGCCGCCGUAA